rnacentral:rRNA from 1 species
UACGUAGGGUGCAAGCGUUGUCCGGAAUUAUUGGGCGUAAAGAGCUCGUAGGCGGUCUGUCGCGUCGGAUGUGAAAACCCGGGGCUUAACCCCGGGCCUGCAUUCGAUACGGGCAGACUCGAGUGUGGUAGGGGAGACUGGAACUCCUGGUGUAGCGGUGAAAUGCGCAGAUAUCAGGAAGAACACCGGUGGCGAAGGCGGGUCUCUGGGCCACUACUGACGCUGAGGGACGAAAGCUAGGGGAGCAAACGGG